UACGUAGGGUGCGAGCGUUAAUCGGAAUUACUGGGCGUAAAGCGUGCGCAGGCGAUCUGUUAAGACCGAUGUGAAAUCCCCGGGCUUAACCUGGGAACUGCAUUGGUGACUGGCAGGCUUUGAGUGUGGCAGAGGGAGGUAGAAUUCCACGUGUAGCAGUGAAAUGCGUAGAGAUGUGGAGGAAUACCGAUGGCGAAGGCAGCCUCCUGGGCCAACACUGACAGCUCAUGCACGAAAGCGUGGGGAGCAAACAGG
rnacentral:rRNA from 1 species